rnacentral:rRNA from 1 species
AAUCAACGCUGGCGGCGUGCCUCAGACAUGCAAGUCGAACGAUUAAGACUUCCUUCGGGAAGUGUAUAAAGUGGCGCACGGGUGAGUAACACGUAAGUAAUCUACCUUCGAGUGGGGAAUAACAGUCGGAAACGACUGCUAAUACCGCAUAAUGCAGCGGCAUCGCAAGAUGACAGUUGUUAAAGGAGCAAUCCGCUUGAAGAGGAGCUUGCGGCAGAUUAGCUAGUUGGUAAGGUAAUGGCUUACCAAGGCUACGAUCUGUAUCCGGCCUGAGAGGGCGGUCGGACACACUGACACUGAAUAACGGGUCAGACUCCUACGGGAGGCAGCAGUCGGGAAUUUUGGGCAAUGGGCGAAAGCCUGACCCAGCAACGCCGCGUGAAGGAUGAAGUAUUUCGGUAUGUAAACUUCGAAAGAAUGGGAAGAAUCAAUGACGGUACCAUUUAUAAGCUCCGGCUAACUACGUGCCAGCCGCCGCAGUAACAC